AGAAAGGCCUACCCUCUGCACUCACUGUUAUGAAGACUUAACAGAAAGAAAAAGCUAAAGGGGUGGUCCUCGGUGAUGACAGGUGCGAUGGGGUCAUGUGACAUGGCGGAGCGAAGCAGGUCACUCAACCGAGACUGUGCCUGGCAUUGGUAAACUGGUGCAAGGAAUGUGGCAUCAUCUACGUGUGGGUUGCCAAAACCUUUGCCGUUGUCAAGAAACAGGACACAACCCCGUCUCUUAUAUCUCCGCAUCAUGUCAAAGUGAUGUCGAUCGUAAUUUCCUGUU